rnacentral:misc_RNA from 1 species
CUCUUUCAAAUAAUCUACCAAAUGAAGGGCUCACCUGUUGGCUUCUCCAUAACAAUGGAAAAAAGAGCUGCCCCUAGGAACCAAGCGAAGCCAGGAGCCCAAAAAAGAGGCUUCUUUAACUCUUCCUCUUACGUGAAAAUAGGAGAGGUGUUUCUAAUCAAGUAUGGUGAUCCUGCUGAGUCUCUUUUUACACAUAAAGAGGGAACUGUUUUAUUAGAAAAGUUAGAGUCAAAGCUGAAGCUCUUAUGCAAGAGGUCUAACAAAAAGGAGGUGAGAGGAAUUUUUAAAAAAUAUCAAUUUCCAAAUCAACUCUUCUACCUUCUAUAUUCUAUAUAUUAAAAAAAUUAUGUUAUUCCACCACCUUCAUCCUUGUGUAACUUGUAGCUA